AGUGAACGCUGGCGGUAGGCCUGACACAUGCAAGUAGAACGGCAGCACAGUAAGAGCUUGCUCUUACGGGUGGCGAGUGGCGGACGGGUGAGGAAUACAUCGGAAUCUACUUUUUCGUGGGGGAUAACGUAGGGAAACUUACGCUAAUACCGCAUACGACCUACGGGUGAAAGCAGGGGAUCUUCGGACCUUGCGCGAUUGAAUGAGCCGAUGUCGGAUUAGCUAGUUGGCGGGGUAAAGGCCCACCAAGGCGACGAUCCGUAGCUGGUCUGAGAGGAUGAUCAGCCACACUGGAACUGAGACACGGUCCAGACUCCUACGGGAGGCAGCAGUGGGGAAUAUUGGACAAUGGGCGCAAGCCUGAUCCAGCCAUACCGCGUGGGUGAAGAAGGCCUUCGGGUUGUAAAGCCCUUUUGUUGGGAAAGAAAAGCAGCAGGUUAAUACCCCGCUGUUCUGACGGUACCCAAAGAAUAAGCACCGGCUAACUUCGUG
rnacentral:rRNA from 1 species